GACGAACGCUGGCGGCGUGCUUAACACAUGCAAGUCGAACGGAAAGGCCCUGCUUUUGUGGGGUGCUCGAGUGGCGAACGGGUGAGUAACACGUGAGUAACCUGCCCUUGACUUUGGGUUAACUUCAGGAAACUGGGGCUAAUACCGGAUAGGAGCUCCUGCUGCAUGGUGGGGGUUGGAAAGUUUCGGCGGUUGGGGAUGGACUCGCGGCUUAUCAGCUUGUUGGUGGGGUAGUGGCUUACCAAGGCUUUGACGGGUAGCCGGCCUGAGAGGGUGACCGGCCACAUUGGGACUGAGAUACGGCCCAGACUCCUACGGGAGGCAGCAGUGGGGAAUAUUGCACAAUGGGCGGAAGCCUGUUGCAGCAACGCCGCGUGCGGGAUGACGGCCUUCGGGUUGUAAACCGCUUUCGCCUGUGACGAAGCGUGAGUGACGGUAAUGGGUAAAGAAGCACCGGCUAACUACGUG
rnacentral:rRNA from 1 species